UACGGAGGGUGCAAGCGUUAAUCGGAAUUACUGGGCGUAAAGCGCACGCAGGCGGUUUGUUAAGCUAGAUGUGAAGGCCCCGGGCUCAACCUGGGAGGGUCAUUUAGAACUGGCAGACUAGAGUCUUGGAGAGGGGAGUGGAAUUCCAGGUGUAGCGGUGAAAUGCGUAGAGAUGUGGAGGAACAUCAGUGGCGAAGGCGACUCCCUGGCCAAAGACUGACGCUCAUGUGCGAAAGUGUGGGGAGCGAACAGG
rnacentral:rRNA from 1 species